rnacentral:rRNA from 1 species
UGGGAAUAUUGGACAAUGGGCGCAAGCCUGAUCCAGCAAUGCCGCGUGUGUGAAGAAGGCCCUCGGGUUGUAAAGCACUUUUAUCAGGAGCGAAAUCUGCAAGGCUAAUACCCUUGUAGUCUGACGGUACCUGAGGAAUAAGCACCGGCUAACUCCGUGCCAGCAGCCGCGGUAAUACGGAGGGUGCAAGCGUUAAUCGGAAUUACUGGGCGUAAAGCGUGUGUAGGCGGUUUGUUAAGUCUGUUGUGAAAAGCCCCGGGCUCAACCUGGGAAUGGCAAUGGAUACUGGCAAGCUAGAGUGUGAUAGAGGAUGGUGGAAUUCCCGGUGUAGCGGUGAAAUGCGUAGAGAUCGGGAGGAACAUCAGUGGCGAAGGCGGCCAUCUGGAUCAAACACUGACGCUGAGACACGAAAAGCGUGGGGAGCAAAACAGGAUUAGAUACCCUGGUAGUCCACGCCCUAAAACGAUGCGAACUGGAUGUUGGUCUCAAACUCGGAGAUCAGUGUCGAAAGCUAACGCGUUAAAGUUCGCCGCCUGGGGGAGUACGGUCGC